UUAUCCUUCCCCAGCUCCUAUCCCCCUUCAAAGGUAACUGCCUUUUCAUAACCAUGGGAGGCUUCAGGCACCCACUGAUCUAUGGAGCUAAAACUCAAGGACGGUUUACUAUUGGCUCCCUGGCUGUCUCAUGUCUUUCUACCUGGCUGGCAGCUAGCUGACCCUCUCCCAUUUUACUUGGCUCACCAGCUAACCCAUAUUUCUGAUCCAUUUUCUCCCACCUGUAAUCCUUCCUGGGGUCUACCAAGUGCCAGGUAUUGUGAGAUUGAGCCCAGGAGAGCGUUAGGAGUUCGUUGGCAUACCUCACUACACACUACAGAGUUCCCUCUACAGAGUCCCAAUAGCCUUUGCCUCAAAGUCCUAGAGCUGGAAGCUCACCGUCUCCAAAGAGAAUGAACUCUAUUGCUGGACAGCUCCAGCUGCUGAAAGCGCCUUCCAUACAGGGAGCAGAAACAGAAGUCUCCAGAGUUUCUAGUUCUGCCCCCUUUGAGUGAGGGAGAAUAAGCAGCGGGCUCCUUGAGCAUGCUUCUCCAUUUCUAUCUUACUGGCAGCCAUUCAUCUGACAUUAAAAAAAAAAAAAAAAAA
rnacentral:lncRNA from 1 species